rnacentral:rRNA from 1 species
CACAUAAGACAUGCAAGUCGAACGGAAGUCGUUGUAAUGAUGUGGACAUGGACAGAGAACUUGUUCGAAGAAAGUGAAAAUUGACUUACAACAAUGGCUUUAGUGGCGGACUGGUGAGUAACGCGUGAGCAACCUGCCUGUUAGAGGGGAAUAACAGUGAGAAAUCAUUGCUAAUACCGCAUAUGCCAUAACUAUCACAUGAUAGAAGUGGGAAAGGAGUAAUCCGCUAACAGAUGGGCUCGCGUCUGAUUAGAUAGUUGGUGGGGUAACGGCCUACCAAGUCUACGAUCAGUAGCCGGACUGAGAGGUUGAACGGCCACAUUGGGACUGAGAUACGGCCCAGACUCCUACGGGAGGCAGCAGUCGGGAAUAUUGCGCAAUGGAGGAAACUCUGACGCAGUGACGCCGCGUAUAGGACGAAGGUCUUCGGAUUGUAAACUAUUGUCGUUAGGGAAGAGAAAGGACAGUACCUAAGGAGGAAGCUCCGGCUAACUACGUGCCAGCAGCCGCGGUAAUACGUAGGGAGCAAGCGUUAUC